AAAAGCUCGUAGUUGGAUCUCAGUUCGGGACGGACGGUCCGCCUACCGGUGGUCACUGUCCGAUCUCAACACCCGCCGGUUUCGCUAGAUGAUCUUCACCGGUUGUCUUGCGUGACCGGCAAGUUUACUUUGAAAAAAUUAGAGUGCUCAAAGCAGGCGUGACGCCUGAAUAAUGGUGCAUGGAAUAAUGAAAUAGGACCUCGGUUCUAUUUUGUUGGUUUUAGGAACACGAGGUAAUGAUUUAGAGGGACAGACGGGGGCAUUCGUAUUGCGACGCUAGAGGUGAAAUUCUUGGACCGUCGCAAGACGAACUACUGCGAAAGCAUUUGCCAAGAAUGUUUCCAUUAAUCAAGAACGAAAGUUAGAGGCUCGAAGGCGAUCAGAUACCGCCCUAGUUCUAACCAUAAACGAUGCCAGCUAGCGAUCCGGCUGUGUUCCUCAAAUGACACGCCGGGCAGCUUCCGGGAAACCAAAGCUUUUGGGUUCCGGGGGAAGUAUGGUUGCAAAGCUCGAACUUAAAGGAAUUGACGGAAGGGAACCACCAGGCGUGGAACUUGCGGCUCAAUUUGACUCAACACGGGUAAUUUCACCCGGCCCGGACACAGGAAGGAUUGACAGAUUAAGAGCUCUUUCUUGAUUCUGUGACAAGUGGUGCAUGGCCGUUCUUAGUUGGUGGAGUGAUUUGUCUGGUUUAUUCCGAUAACGAACGAGAUUCUAGCCUACUAAAUAGACGCUCCGAUCCUUCUGAGUCGGACGUUCUUCUUAGAGGGACAGGCGGCGUUCAGCCGCAUGAGACAGAGCAAUAACAGGUCAGUGAUGCCCUUCGAUGUUCGGGGCCGCACGCGUGUUACAUUGAAGGAAUCAGCGUGUGCUUUCCCGGUCCGACAGGAUUGGGUAACCCGUUGAAACUCCUUCGUGCUGGGGAUAGGAAUUUGCAAUUGUCUUCCUUGAACGAGGAACGCCUAGUAAAUACGAGUCAUUAGCUCGUGUUGAUUAUGUCCCUGCCCUUUGUGCACACCGCCCGUCGCUGCUAGCGAUGAAUGGUUUAGUGAGAUCUCCGGACUGGUACCCGUACUGGACUUCGGUCCGAGACGGCGUGCUGGAAAGAUGACCGAACUUGACCAUCUAGAGCUCGCAAAAGUCGUAACAAGGUUUCC
rnacentral:rRNA from 1 species